UACGGGGGGGGCAAGCGUUGUUCGGAAUUACUGGGCGUAAAGGGCUCGUAGGUGGCCAACUAAGUCAGACGUGAAAUCCCUCGGCUUAACCGGGGAACUGCGUCUGAUACUGGAUGGCUUGAGUUUGGGAGAGGGAUGCGGAAUUCCAGGUGUAGCGGUGAAAUGCGUAGAUAUCUGGAGGAACACCGGUGGCGAAGGCGGCAUCCUGGACCAAUAUUGACGCUGAGGAGCGAAAGCCAGGGGAGCAAACGGG
rnacentral:rRNA from 1 species